rnacentral:tRNA from 1 species
UCCGAUCUGGCGAGGUGGUCACUGCGCUCGCCUUGCACGCGGGAGACCCGGGUUCGAUUCCCGGCGGAG